rnacentral:tRNA from 2 species
ACGGGUGUAGCUCAAUUGGUAGAGCAUUGGUCUCCAAAACCAAGGGUCGGGAGUUCGAAUCUCUCCACCCGUGCUA